UGGGGAAUAUUGGGCAAUGGGCGAAAGCCUGACCCAGCAACGCCGCGUGAGUGAUGAAGGCCUUCGGGUUGUAAAACUCUUUGGACAGGGACGAAGAAAGUGACGGUACCUGUAGAACAAGCCACGGCUAACUACGUGCCGGCAGCCGCGGUAAUACGUAAGGUCCGAGCGUUGUCCGGAAUCAUUGGGCGUAAAGGGUACGUAGGCGGGUAAGCAAGUUAGAAGUGAAAUCCUGUAGCUCAACUACAGUAAGCUUUUAAAACUGCUCAUCUUGAGAUAUGGAAGGGAAAGUGGAAUUCCUAGUGUAGCGGUGAAAUGCGCAGAUAUUAGGAGGAAUACCGGUGGCGAAGGCGACUUUCUGGCCAUAAUCUGACGCUGAGGUACGAAAGCGUGGGUAGCAAACAGG
rnacentral:rRNA from 1 species